rnacentral:rRNA from 1 species
GCUCAGGACGAACGCUGGCGGCGUGCCUAAUACAUGCAAGUCGAGCGAACAGAAGGGAGCUUGCUCCCGGAUGUUAGCGGCGGACGGGUGAGUAACACGUGGGUAACCUGCCUGUAAGACUGGGAUAACUCCGGGAAACCGGAGCUAAUACCGGAUAGUUCCUUGAACCGCAUGGUUCAAGGAUGAAAGACGGUUUCGGCUGUCACUUACAGAUGGACCCGCGGCGCAUUAGCUAGUUGGUGGGGUAAUGGCUCACCAAGGCAACGAUGCGUAGCCGACCUGAGAGGGUGAUCGGCCACACUGGGACUGAGACACGGCCCAGACUCCUACGGGAGGCAGCAGUAGGGAAUCUUCCGCAAUGGACGAAAGUCUGACGGAGCAACGCCGCGUGAGUGAUGAAGGUUUUCGGAUCGUAAAGCUCUGUUGUUAGGGAAGAACAAGUGCGAGAGUAACUGCUCGCACCUGACGGACCA